rnacentral:rRNA from 1 species
UACGUAGGUGGCAAGCGUUGUCCGGAUUUACUGGGCGUAAAGAGCGUGUAUGCGGCCAAGCAGGUCCGUUGUGAAAACUGGAGGCUUAACCUCCAGACGUCGACGGAAACCGCGCGGCUAGAGUCCGGAAGAGGAGAGUGGAAUUCCUGGUGUAGCGGUGAAAUGCGCAGAUAUCAGGAAGAACACCCGUGGCGAAAGCGGCUCUCUGGAACGGUACUGACGCUGAGACGCGAAAGCGUGGGGAGCGAACAGG